rnacentral:lncRNA from 10 species
CAGGGUAAGGCUUUGUGACAUCACUCUAAGAUAAGACAAAAGCACAAGAAUAGGUUGUACUUAGCAGAGGCAAACAAAGCUGUCCUCGGGCAGGGUGUGACACAGGUUUCUUCUUGUCUUGAGGAUGAGUGAAGAAGCCCACAGCCACAUGGGUAUUUUCGCAGCUUCCCAUGGGGGAAAGGCUGACCCUGGAUAGGAUGGCAGGAGAAUUUAAUUUUAGGAUUUGGGAAGAAGGAAUUAUUGUUAAGUAUCUCAGAAGAAUCAAGAUUUGGGAGCAGGAAGUGAAGACUUAUCCAAAUUAAAGAUUGUGCUAAUUUAUUACAACCAUGUAUACUGAAAACAAGCAUGUUGGGGUGGGGAAGAAAGACCUGAUCUUGUCACAGGAGUAGUGCUGGUGAGGAGAGGACAACAGACCUAGUGAUGUUUCUUUCACCCUCCCCAAUUCCCACCACCUAGAAAAUGAAGACUGACAACUAUUAAAAGAUUAACGAGCAAGAAUUGAAAUCAUUCACGAAGAGAAGCUUUGGACUAAAACCCAUCUGCCAGAUAAGCCAAUAAAUGUCCCUCUCAUCAAGUGAUUGGGACUGGGAUGGAGCUGGAAUUUGGCCCUAAUGUUGCAUGUGUAAAGAAGAUGGAGAUAUGUCAAGAAGACACAG